CCUACGGGACGCAGCAGUGGGGAAUAUUGGGCAAUGGGCGCAAGCCUGACCCAGCAACGCCGCGUGAAGGAAGAAGGCUUUCGGGUUGUAAACUUCUUUUAUGAGGGACGAAACAAAUGACGGUACCUCAUGAAUAAGCCACGGCUAACUACGUGCCAGCAGCCGCGGUAAUACGUAGGUGGCAAGCGUUAUCCGGAUUUACUGGGUGUAAAGGGCGUGUAGGCGGGACUGCAAGUCAGAUGUGAAAAUUAUGGGCUCAACCCAUAACCUGCAUUUGAAACUGUAGUUCUUUAGUGAUGGAGAGG
rnacentral:rRNA from 1 species